CCUACGGGUGGCAGCAGUAGGGAAUAUUGGUCAAUGGAUGCAAGUCUGAACCAGCCAUGCCGCGUGCAGGAAGAAGGCCUUCUGGGUUGUAAACUGCUUUUAUCUGGGGAUAAAAAGGGGGUGCGCCCCCAACUGAAGGUACCAGAUGAAUAAGCCACGGCUAACUACGUGCCAGCAGCCGCGGUAAUACGUAGGUGGCAAGCGUUGUCCGGAUUUAUUGGGUUUAAAGGGUGCGUAGGCGGUCUAUUAAGUCAGUGCUGAAAUAUCCCGGCUUA
rnacentral:rRNA from 1 species